GGCAUGCAGAAGACCUGAUGACACAAACCCUCCAAAGAGUUUCACCCUCACCACAACAGGUGGCUUCCUGCUCGGCAGCCCAUCCUGCAUCACUUCAGUGGACUUCUCUGACAUCUACUAGACCACAUUAAAUGAAUCACAGCCUUGAAACUGAACUGGAAGGACUUCCUUCAAGAUUUUUAUCUAAUUCCUGUUGGACAGUGUAAAAUGCCACUUCUUCCAGGGUUGCCUGCAUAUCAUCAAAAGGGAAAUAGUACUCAUCGAAGAUGUGCCUUUGCUAGGAACUAGGACAAGGGUGGCCUUUAUAAAUUCAUGAAGAGAAGGAGCCAGCAUAUGAACUUGCUGCCUAUCUUUAGCAAGGAGAUGCAAAUGACAUCCACAAACCUCUUCUGCUGUAUACCUGGAUGAAAGCAAGGCUAGCUGUGUGUCCUAUGGCACCAAGGACUGAAAGAUUGUAAGAAGUAAGAGUGAAUAUUCAGCUUAAACAAAAAAUAGCCUUUCUACCCAGAGACAGCGUGUACCAAAGAAAAUGGCGUCCGCGUGCAGGCCGUCUGCGCGCAGCAGUGGGAAGAGGCGGGCUCCCUGAGGAGACAACAUCCCUGACAGACCUCCCAACAAAGCCCUGCAUAUUUUUCAGUAAAUCAUGUAUAUUUGGUCACUGUUUUCUUUCUGACUCUCAAGACAUCACCGUUCCU
rnacentral:lncRNA from 1 species